UGUAGCAACCCUGUUAAAGAUAAAUGCUAUAGUCAGCUAACUUUUAUCCAUGCAAUUUUUAAUAAAGACAAUCAAAAGAAUAACCAGGGAAAAGAUACUGAAAAUGUUUGCAUCAUGUGGUAAAUUUGUGUAUUAUUACCAUGAUCAUGUUUUGGCGAAUACUCCAGGUAGACUUUAUACUCCUUUUCAUGGAACUCAUUUUCCCUGGAACUGAUUUUCGUCUGGCUGCUGUUUUAGAACCAUCUGUCUACCUGGUGGCUUCCUCAAAAUGAUAUGGCCAUUGCCGCACCAAAUUAUCCAUGUGCAUGUCUACGUGAUGUACAUCCAGUUUAAUCCUGUCAAUGAGAAGUGGGUUGAUGUGUUGUCCAAAUUGCAUGUCGAUGAUGAGUGGGCAGAGGAGUAACACAUGAUGAAAAUUCCAAUGGCUAACAGAAGAUACAAGCAUCAGGGGCUGUGAAGCCCAUGAGGCGUGAGCGGUUUGGGACGUCGACGGCAGCGAUGACGCCCGGGCGGCCAGUGUGGCAGAGGAGGAUACUGAUGGGGAUGCGGUGUGAGCUGCCGCGGUUCAGCGGGCUCAUACUGUACGAUGAGCAAGGCUGAUGCCUCCAUCCCGGCACUCUGGGCAGAAGAAACCAUCUCCAGGGUUGUUUGGCUAGAGCCGGAAACGAACAUUGCGGAGGUGAGCAGCAAAAAAUUGUCGGCGCCCAGGAGCGGAGCUGUGUGCUGGAGAUCAAGGGGACACUCGUGUGAUGGGCAGCGAUGAAG